rnacentral:misc_RNA from 1 species
AAGUCGUAACAAGGUUUCCGUAGGUGAACCUGCGGAAGGAUCAUUAAUAAUUUUAUGAAAUUUCUUUGUUUACAAAGAGUUUUAUUACAUUUCUUGUGAAUUAAUUACGUUUUGUAUGAGAUUUCUUUAUGAAUUUCAUAUAAAAAACAUACUUUUUUACUCUAUUGUCUGAAACAUUUUAUAUUAUAAUAAUAAUAAUUAAAAAACAACUUUUAACAACGGAUCUCUUGGCUCUCC